rnacentral:rRNA from 1 species
CCUACGGGAGGCAGCAGUGAGGAAUAUUGGUCAAUGGGCUUACGCCUGAACCAGCCAAGUCGCGUGAGGGAAGACUGCCCUAUGGGUUGUAAACCUCUUUUGUCAGGGAGCAACGCCGGCUACGUGUAGCCGGACUGAGAGUACCUGAAGAAAAAGCAUCGGCGAACUCCGUGCCAGCAGCCGCGGUAAUACGGAGGAUGCGAGCGUUAUCCGGAUUGAUUGGGUUUAAAGGGUGCGUAGGCGGAAUGCCAAGUCAGCGGUAAAAUCGCGGGGCUCAACCUCGCUCCGCCGUUGAAACUGGCGUUCUUGAGUGGGCGAGAAGUAUGCGGAAUGCGUGGUGUAGCGGUGAAAUGCAUAGAUAUCACGCAGAACUCCGAUUGCGAAGGCAGCAUACCGGCGCCCAACUGACGCUGACGCACGAAAGCGUGGGUAUCGAACAGGAUUAGAUACCCUAGUAGUC